rnacentral:lncRNA from 1 species
AUAAAAUUUUAUUCCUUAGUAGAUCCCGUAGGCCCAUACUUGCACCAACUUAUGUCUGGUGCAACAAUGACACCAACGAUGUCUCCUGCUUACAACAACAAAAAUUUCUUUCUCAUCAUGCUGCAUGUCCAUCAAAGGUCGUCUUCUCUCGAGGCAGUCUCUAACUGGAAUGUUGGCACCGGUUGCAUUUCAUUGGGUAAAGCUAUACAUUUGUCAGGUCUCCAGGACUUUGAUUAACAGUGGGAGUAACAGAGCAAUCACUGUCUUAGUAACAACUUCAAAGGGAAGAUGCAUCAAGUUGAGGAAGACAUUGAUACAGGCUUUCUUCAGAGUCCUUAUCAAAAUGUGUCAACAGGCCACGACUUUGGCCUGGGUGUGUCAUUUGCUGUCCUGUUGCUGCAGUGGAGCAGGAAGAGCAAAGCUUCACACUCAGGGGCUGUAGGAUGCUAUCCAGCCUGAGUAAUAAUACAUCGCUUAAACAGAAUUUUAGGAGAGUCACAAAGAUUUUAAAUGACCUAGAAAUUAUUUCAUUCAUAGGAGAAUUAAAUGUUGUUAAAGGACCUCAAGCCCAGUUGAACUAGGUCAGCAUCCUGGAAGUGUUUUAAACACUUUCAGACUGUGGGGUCAUGCAUCAUGCUCUGUGACCUGCUGAAGCUGACACCCAAAUCCUGUGUCCUGAGGAGCGCCCAAGAAACCCACACGCUGCGCAUAUUUCUCAUGGAGGCACAUGCUCACCGCUUGAUGCUUGGUGUUGUAAAUUUUAUGCUUAUUUAUUUUCACUUUGUUGGACUUAUGUACAUCAAAAUAAAUUCAUUAGAACUCUAAGUUUCAUGAGGGCAAGGGUUUUUGUCUGUUUUUUUAACUUCCAUAUUCCCAGCACCUCAAACAAUGCUGGAAAAUAAUAGAUGUCUGAUACUUGUUAAAUGAACAAAUGAGUGAAUUUAUAAAUCUAAAAAUGAGUGAAUAAAUUAAGUUAAUUUACCUGUUGUCUGUAAUUUCAU